AACUACUUUGGCAGAUUGAAGUGUAAUAGAUUUAGGAUCUAUCGAUGUAUAUAGUACAGGUAGUA
rnacentral:tRNA from 1 species